GCUUUAAAAAGAAGAGACUGAGCUUUGCGCAGUGGCAGUAUUGUAGCCAAUAAGGUUUAUCCGAGGCGUGAUUGUUGCUAAAA